rnacentral:rRNA from 1 species
UUCGAUGAAGAACGCAGCGAAAUGCGAUAAGUAAUGUGAAUUGCAGAAUUCAGUGAAUCAUCGAAUCUUUGAACGCACCUUGCGCUCCUUGGUAUUCCGAGGAGCAUGCCUGUUUGAGUGUCAUUA